CAGUCGCCGCGGUAAUACGUAGGUGGCAAGCGUUGUCCGGAACUAUUGGGCGUAAAGGGCUCGCAGGCGGUUUCUUAAGUCUGAUGUGAAAGCCCCCGGCUCAACCGGGGAGGGUCAUUGGAAACUGGGAAACUUGAGUGCAGAAGAGGAGAGUGGAAUUCCACGUGUAGCGGUGAAAUGCGUAGAGAUGUGGAGGAACGCCAGUGGCGAAGGCGACUCUCUGGUCUGUAACUGACGCUGAGGAGCGAGAGCGUGGGGAGCGAACAGGAUUAGAUACCCGCGUAGUCCCUGUCUCUUAUAC
rnacentral:rRNA from 1 species